CCUACGGGAGGCAGCAGUGAGGAAUAUUGGUCAAUGGACGAAAGUCUGAACCAGCCAUGCCGCGUGCAGGAAGACGGCUCUAUGAGUUGUAAACUGCUUUUGUACGGGGGUAAACGCAGAUACGCGUAUCUGUCUGAAAGUAUCUUACGAAUAAGGAUCGGCUAACUCCGUGCCAGCAGCCGCGGUAAUACGGAGGAUUCAAGCGUUAUCCGGAUUUAUUGGGUUUAAAGGGUGCGUAGGUGGGUGGUUAAGUUAGAGGUGAAAGCCCGAGGCUCAACUUCGGAAUUGCCAUUGAUACUGUUCGGCUAGAGAGUAGUUGAGGUAGGCGGAAUGUAUGGUGUAGCGGUGAAAUGCUUAGAGAUCAUACAGAACACCGAUUGCGAAGGCAGCUUACCAAGCUACUUCUGACGUUGAGGCACGAAAGUGUGGGGAGCAAACAGGAUUAGAUACCCGUGUAGUC
rnacentral:rRNA from 1 species